AGAAUAUGAAUGAAGCAACCGAAAGUGACUAUUGCGGCCAACUUUACCCGCGCGGUGGGCCAAGCCAGCCUGGCCAGUUGUAUAAUACGGGCACUAUAGAAAGUUAGAUCGUGCAUCGAAAUCCCGCAAAAUACCGUACUAUAUAUAU
ensembl:ncRNA F55F1.10 ncRNA